GACGAACGCUGGCGGCGUGCCUAACACAUGCAAGUCGAACGAGGUCCAUCCUUCGGGAGAAGACCUAGUGGCGAACGGGUGAGUAACACGUGAAGAACCUGCCCCGAAGACCGGGAUAACCCUCCGAAAGGAGAGCCAAUACCGGAUACCCCCACCGAACCGCAUGGUUUGGUGAGGAAAUGGAUUCCGCUUCGGGAGGGCUUCGCGGCCUAUCAGCUAGUUGGUGGGUAACGGCCCACCAAGGCAUCGACGGGUAGCUGGUCUGAGAGGACGAUCAGCCACACUGGGACUGAGACACGGCCCAGACUCCUACGGGAGGCAGCAGUGGGGAAUCUUGCGCAAUGGGCGAAAGCCUGACGCAGCAACGCCGCGUGGGGGAUGAAGGGCUCUCGGGUUGUAAACCCCUUUCAGCAGGGACGAAUCAAGACGGUACCUGCAGAAGAAGCCCCGGCUAACUACGUGCCAGCAGCCGCGGU
rnacentral:rRNA from 1 species